GUAGGUGGCAAGCGUUGUCCGGAAUUAUUGGGCGUAAAGCGCGCGCAGGCGGUUCUUUAAGUCUGAUGUGAAAGCCCACGGCUCAACCGUGGAGGGUCAUUGGAAACUGGAGAACUUGAGUACAGAAGAGGAAAGCGGAAUUCCACGUGUAGCGGUGAAAUGCGUAGAGAUGUGGAGGAACACCAGUGGCGAAGGCGGCUUUCUGGUCUGUAACUGACGCUGAGGCGCGAAAGCGUGGGGAGCAAACAGGAUUAGAUACCCUGGUAGUCCACGCCGUAAACGAUGAGUGCUAAGUGUUAGGGGGGUUUCCGCCCCCCUUAGUGCUGCAGCUAACGCAUUAAGCACUCUGCCUGGGAGUACGGCCGCAAGGCUG
rnacentral:rRNA from 1 species